rnacentral:lncRNA from 1 species
AAACUUAUUACACAACAAGUUAGGAACUCAUGCACGUCUAAAAAAAAUACUCAAUGAGAUGGUAACGGAUGACGACGGGGAACAAAGAUGAAUAGUGGACAAGAGGAGGUGGAAGUGAAAAAAGUACAUAAAGAAAGACAAAGUACAUAAUUAAGUCAAAAGGAUAGAAUGGGGAUUGAAAACAAUAGUGGGUGCAAGAAGAAAUAAAUGGGUGCAAGAAUUAGAAAACUUAGGAUAGACAGAAGAAAUAAACGAUAUUGUGUUUUCUUCAAGGUUUAAACCUCUUUUUGGUCCCUAAGUUAUAAGCGGAUGUUCAGUUUAGUCCCCAUUUUUAAAAAUGUAAAUCUUUGGUCCCUAAGUUAUAAAAAAUGUAUUAAAUGAGUCCCUUUUUGACUUGAAAUACUAUUUUUGGUUGUUUCUUAACAACUGCUACAUCUUUAGAUUGCUCUGAUUUGUUUCUUAAUAAUAACAGUACUUUAGAUUGCUCUUUGUACUUUGACCAUGAACAUCAAAAAAGGACUCAUUUGAUACAUUUUUUAUAACUUAGGAAUCAAAGGUUUACAUUUUUAAAAGCGGGGACUAAACUGAACAUCCGCUCAUAACUUAGGGACCAAAAAGAGGUUUAAACCUUUUCUUCAAUAUAAUAAUUCAUAACUAUUAUUUUUGCAGAAA